UAGACGUUGCAGAUAUACCACCACUCUACAUUGUUUUCUGAGUUCUUUGCGGAAUGGAAAGGACUAUGACGUAUACCCGUUUUGUAAACAGUGAAGACGUGUUAGUUUGACGGGCACAAUAAUGUAUCUUCUGGAUCAAAUUCCACUGCAUAUGGAUUAUGAUGGACAGCGCAGAGCAGAGCGUCUGUCCCGCAUCAUUGUGACACUUUUUGGAGCUGUAGGUCUUGUGUGGGGCUACAUCAUCCAGCAGUUCUCACAAACAGUGUAUAUCCUAGGUGCAGGAUUCGUACUGGCUGCCCUUAUUACAAUUCCUCCUUGGCCCAUGUACCGGCGGAAACCUCUUGCGUGGCAGAAACCGAGGCCAGAAGGAGAAGGUGGUGAACAGCAGUCUGCAUUGAAGCAAAAGAAGAAGAAAUAAAUGUGUUAUAGAUUAUUAACUGUGUGAGAGAUAUCCCGUGAUGACAGUGUAGUAUAUAUCCUCUUGUUCUUUAAGAAAUUGCUGUCAUGUGUACAAUCUGAGAAACACACAACUUCUUGAAGACUUUGGAGUAUACAAAUGCAAGCAUUCCAUUGAGUAAUGGUGAUAUUUUGAUUUAAAUUCAUUACUUACCUACUUUGUUUCACUUGCUGCGUCACUGCCACUUAAUAACUAGUGUUUUAGAACUGAAUAAUUUGAUCAUGUAUGUUAGAUACAAUUGCACAUAAAAACCAGAACAUACUAAAUAGCAUUACUCCACAUUUAAUUUUGUGAUAUACACGUUUGAUACUUUGUCACAUUUCUGGAAGGCGAGGAGGCUGUUUGACAGUUUUGUGUGUAUCUUAUUUGCAAUGACAUAUAUUCACAAGAGACUCUCUCUCUUUGUAGUGCAUAUUUCCUGGAAGCAUGUAGCUCAGCACAGUCAACAUAGUAUUUCACAUCAGUCAUCCGUAAGGCAUACCUCCUGUGUGAUUAAAUACUCCAAUCAUCAGGUGGACUUAUGAUGUGUAUCAGCAGCCGAGCAUUUUAUGCUAAGGUUAGAAGUCACCUUGUGCCAAUGAUAAAAUUCUAGUUUCAUACAAAUCCUCCAACAUGAAAGCAUGUUUUUUGCUAACACAAAAUAUUUUCUUCUACCUUUAUAAUAAAAGAUGUCACUGAAUGUUAUCCAAGUAUAUAAUUUGCCUGUCAUGCACAAAGUAAAGGAAUGGUCUGAUUUUGUUUUAUAUUUGUAGAGCUUCUACCUCUGAUCACCUUGAUGUCAAUAAAAUUGCACAUUCUUGCACUGAGUGACACGUUACAGUAUUUGAGGCACUGAAGUUGAGCUCCAAAUCCCUAUCUGGCCAAGUUUGAGGUUCUAUGCAGUUCCCUGAAGGACUCUUAAAACAUUGGAAUGGUUCCUUCGAAUUUAUAAUGGCCAAUUCUGUGCACCAUUCUUUUACAGUCUGAAUUUGUGCUAUAUAUCUGGCCAUCUCCACAAAGAAGGGGCAUACAACUGUAACCCUUCUUGCUAGCUGUCAAUGUAUUUACUCAUUUUUACCCACCUUCUUUGUAUAUUACAUUACUGCCACAUAUAAACAGCUAAGUUUAUAUAAUAUUAUAGGUAAUUGACUUUGAGGAAUCUUUUCAAAGUAUUAUUAUGACACAGGUUUUAUAGAUUAUGCAAAACACAUAAUUACAAUAUUCCCACUAGAAGUUCAUCAAGAAUCAUUGUACAGCACAGUUACAAGUUUAUGCAAUCAAUAGGCACCAAGAGAAGGCACAUGUUAAGGAAACAAGGAUUUGUGUUUUAACUGAGUUUGUGUGUUGGGCACAAGAUUGGUCAUUGUAAUCUUGUUGAUUAAUACACCUGGUGUCACUAAAGAGCUGCCGUAAUUGAAGUGUAAUAAUACUUUUGCCGUAAUUAUAAGACUAAGUAAUAAAGUCCCCGCACAACAGUU